AUGUAAGAUGAGAUAUUUGUGACCAUAUCCAUUGACACAGUCGUGGUUUGAUUAUAUCAUCGUGUGUUUUUAUAUGCAAUAUUAAAGAACCUGGCAAAAUUGCCCAGGUUCUUUUUUUG
rnacentral:sRNA from 1 species